UACAGAGGGUGCGAGCGUUAAUCGGAAUUACUGGGCGUAAAGCGCGCGUAGGCGGCUUUGCAAGUCGGGUGUGAAAUCCCCAGGCUUAACCUGGGAACUGCAUUCGAGACUGCAUUGCUAGAGUAUGGGAGAGGGAAGUGGAAUUUCCGGUGUAGCGGUGAAAUGCGUAGAUAUCGGAAGGAACAUCAGUGGCGAAAGCGACUUCCUGGACCAAUACUGACGCUCAUGUGCGAAAGCUAGGGGAGCGAACGGG
rnacentral:rRNA from 1 species